rnacentral:rRNA from 1 species
GUCUAUGGCCAUGCUACCUUGAACAAGCCCGAUCCCUUCUGAUCUUGGAAGCUAAGCAAGGUCGGCCCGGGUUAGUACUUAGAUGGGAAACCACUUAGGAAGACCAGGUACUGUAGGCG